rnacentral:lncRNA from 1 species
UCUCUCUCUCUCUCUCCAAAAAAAGAGAUCGGCAUCCGCGAGCUCUCCCUCUCCGGCGAUAAGCCGUCAAACCACACCGUUCUCCUCCAGCCGCCGACCCGACCCGAUCUCCCUCCGGCAACGGCAGCAGGCGCCAGUCAACACCCAACAAGACGACAUGAGCAGCUCCACCAGCAUCGUCGUAUGCUCCGAUCGAACCGGAGAGUGAGAUCUGAGGAUCACCUCCAUUUCUGGUUGCUGGCGAACGCACCGGAGCUCAGGCGUAGCAAAGGGUCCUUUUUUUUUAGUUCAAAAUCCACCGAAAAACAUCCCCGAGCUUUGCCUCUUACUGCUUGAUUGUUGGUCACUGUUCGGAGCUCGGAUCGUACGGUUGGACGCCGAAAUCUGACUUUUCCGGUUUGGCUUUUUUUUCUACUGUCAGUCCUCGGAGUUUUUCGUGUUGAAAUCGUGUCAACAUUUGUGAUUUGGAUUCUGCAUCAUGAGUUUUUUUCUUCACAGGUUUUGGAGCUGUUCGGUUAUUAUUUUAAUACCGAGUUUGGUUUUCUCGUUGUGAGGUUCUCCGGUCGAGUAUUUUGAUAUUUGGAUUUCUUUAUUAUCGACAAGGAUUAAUUUCAUCGAGGUCCAUUUCUUCUAACCGAAUCUUUAAUUUAUUUUUGACUUUUCGUGAUGUUGUGGGUGUGGAUGAUUUAUUUGUCGCAUGUUUGGUAUGUUCGAAUAUGUGUUAUGUGUUGGUUGAUGUUGGUUUCGGACUUUGAAAAGUGAAUUGAUAAAUCGAAGCAUGUUUAAUCAUAUUGUUUGAAAUAAAUUUGGGGACGGGAAUCAAAAAUUGAUAAAAGUGAAUAUUAUGAUAUUUUUGAUACAUUGUUGAUGUUGAAUGCGAUAUGUCGUCGAGCGGGUAGGCGAAAUUUAGGAAUAAGUGUUUCGUGGGAUGUUGGAAUGUGCGUGUGAAUGUCUUUUUCUAGAUUAUCGUGUUUAAUUUAGAUGUAUUUAUUUAGCCGGGGAAUGCCCCGAGAUCACUUGUAUUUAUUCACCGAGGAAUGCCCCCACGUAUCAUGUUGGCGGAGAAUUAUCAUGAUGAAGGCCCGCGGCGUCGGGUAAGG